GACGAACGCUGGCGGCGUGCUUAACACAUGCAAGUCGAGCGGUAAGGCCCUUUCGGGGGUACACGAGCGGCGAACGGGUGAGUAACACGUGGGUGACCUGCCCUCAGCUCUGGGAUAAGCCUGGGAAACCGGGUCUAAUACUGGAUAUGACUCCAUGACGCAUGUUGUGGGGUGGAAAGCCUUGUGCGGCUGAGGAUGGGCCCGCGGCCUAUCAGCUUGUUGGUGGGGUGAGGCCUACCAAGGCGACGACGGGUAGCCGGCCUGAGAGGGCGACCCGCCACACUGGGACUGAGACACGGCCCAGACUCCUACGGGAGGCAGCAGUGGGGAAUCUUGCGCAAUGGGCGAAAGCCUGACGCAGCGACGCCGCG
rnacentral:rRNA from 1 species